GGGGUUGUGGCUCAGAGGUAGAGCACUCACCUAGCAUGUGUGAGGCACUGGGUUCAAUCCUCAGCACCACA
rnacentral:tRNA from 1 species